rnacentral:rRNA from 2 species
GGAGGAAGCCCCGGCUAACUACGUGCCAGCAGCCGCGGUAAUACGUAGGGGGCAAGCGUUAUCCGGAAUUAUUGGGCGUAAAGAGUGCGUAGGUGGUUACUUAAGCAGGGGGUGAAAGGCAAUGGCUCAACCAUUGUUAGCCCCCUGAACUGGGCUACUUGAGUGCAGGAGAGGAAAGCGGAAUUCCUAGUGUAGCGGUGAAAUGCGUAGAUAUUAGGAGGAACACCAGUGGCGAAGGCGGCUUUCUGGACUGUAACUGACACUGAGGCACGAAAGUGUGGGGAGCAAACAGGAUUAGAUACCCUGGUAGUCCACACCGUAAACGAUGAGCACUAGGUGUCGGGGUCGCAAGGCUUCGGUGCCGCAGUUAACGCAUUAAGUGCUCCGCCUGGGGAGUACGUACGCAAGUAUGAAACUCAAAGGAAUUGACGGGGACCCGCACAAGCAGCGGAGCAUGUGGUUUAAUUCGAAGCAACGCGAAGAACCUUACCAGGACUUGACAUCCCGAUGACCGGUUCUUAACCGAACCUUCUCUUCGGAGCAUCGGUGACAGGUGGUGCAUGGUUGUCGUCAGCUCGUGUCGUGAGAUGUUGGGUUAAGUCCCGCAACGAGCGCAACCCUUGCCAUUAGUUGCCAUCAUUAAGUUGGGCACUCUAGUGGGACUGCCGGGGAUAACUCGGAGGAAGGUGGGGAUGACGUCAAAUCAUCAUGCCCCUUAUGUUCUGGGCUACACACGUGCUACAAUGGUCGGUACAAAGAGCAGCAAUACCGUGAGGUGGAGCAAAUCUCAAAAGCCGAUCCCAGUUCGGAUUGUAGGCUGCAACUCGCCUACAUGAAGUUGGAGUUGCUAGUAAUCGCGGAUCAGAAUGCCGCGGUGAAUGCGUUCCCGGGUCUUGUACACACCGCCCGUA